rnacentral:rRNA from 1 species
CCUACGGGUGGCUGCAGUGGGGAAUAUUGCACAAUGGGGGAAACCCUGAUGCAGCGACGCCGCGUGAGUGAAGAAGUAAUUCGGUAUGUAAAGCUCUAUCAGCAGGGAAGAAAAUGACGGUAACUGAGUAAAAAUCCCCGGCUAACUACGUGCCAGCAGCCGAGGUAAUACGUAGGGGGCAAGCGUUAUCCGGAUUUAAUGGGUGGAAAGGGGGCGUAGACGGCAGUGCAAGUCUGGAGUGAAAGGCGGGGGCUCAACCCCCGGACUGCUCUGGAAACUGUACGGCUUGAGUGCAGGAGAGGUAAGUGGAAUUCCUAGUGUAGCGGUGAAAUGCGUAGAUAUUAGGAGGAACACCAGUGGCGAAGGCGGCUUACUGGACUGUAACUGACGUUGAGGCUCGAAAGCGUGGGGAGCAAACAGGAUUAGAUACCCGAGUAGUC